GGGGGGGCUAGCGUUAUUCGGAAUUAUUGGGCGUAAAGGGCGCGCAGGCGGCUUGGUAGGUCAAAGGUGAAAUCCCGUCAGCUCGAACCUCGAGGAACUGCCUUUGAAACCACCUCGCUAGAGGCUGGGAGGGGGUAGCGGAAUUCCCGGUGUAGCGGUGAAAUGCGUAGAUAUCGGGGGGAACACCGGUGGCGAAGGCGGCUACCUGGACCAGUUCUGACGCUGAGGCGCGAAAGUGUGGGGAGCAAACGAGGAUUAAGAUACCCUGGGUAGUCCACACUGUAAACGAUGGGCACUCGGUGCCGCGGGUAUUGACCCCCCUGCGGUGCCUUAGCUAACGCGUUAAGUGCCCCCGCUGGGGACGUACGGUCGCAAGGCUG
rnacentral:rRNA from 1 species